UACGAAGGGGGCUAGCGUUGUUCGGAAUUACUGGGCGUAAAGCGCGCGCAGGCGGCUUCUCAAGUCAGGGGUGAAAGCCCAGAGCUCAACUCUGGAACUGCCUUUGAAACUGUGAAGCUUGAGUACGGGAGAGGUGAGUGGAAUUCCCAGUGUAGAGGUGAAAUUCGUAGAUAUUGGGAAGAACACCGGUGGCGAAGGCGGCUCACUGGCCCGUUACUGACGCUCAGGCGCGACAGCGUGGGGAUCAAACAGG
rnacentral:rRNA from 1 species